rnacentral:rRNA from 1 species
UACGUAGGCGCGAGCGUUGUUCGGAGUUACUGGGCGUAAAGGGUGUGUAGGCGGUUCUUUAAGUUUGGUGUGAAAUCUCCCGCUUAACCGGGAGGGUGCGCCGAAUACUGAGGGACUAGAGUACGGGAGAGGAAAGUGGAAUUCCUGGUGUAGCGGUGAAAUGCGUAGAUAUCAGGAGGAACACCGGUGGCGAAGGCGGGUCUCUGGGCCGUAACUGACGCUGAGGAGCGAAAGCGUGGGUAGCAAACAGG